rnacentral:lncRNA from 10 species
GCACUUUAGGAGACCGAGGCAGGUGGAUCAUCUGAGCUCAGGAGUUCAAGACCAGCCUGGCCAACAUCGUGAAACCGUCUCUACUAAAAAUACAAAAAAAUUAGCUGGGCAUGGCGGUGGGGCCCUGUCAUCCCAGCUACUCAGGAGGCUGAGGCAGGAGAAUCGCUUGAAUCUGGGAGGCGGAGGUUGCAGUGAGAGUGAGGCGAGAUCUCGCCAUUGCAGUCCAGCCGGGGUGACAAGAGUGAAACUCCGCCUAAAAAAAAAAAAGAAAAGAAAAGAAAAAGAAAAAGAACCCCUUGUCAGUGGGUGCUGUAGUGCCUUAAGCCUAUGACGCUUUGGGAGGUCAAGAAGUGAGGAUCCCUUGAGCCCAGGAGUUUGAGGCUGCAUUGAGCUAUGAUCAUUCCGCUGCACUCCAGCCUGAGUGACAGAGCAAAACCUCCUCUCUAAACAAACAAACAAAAAAGAACCCCGUGUGCCUUGUGUCCUGGGGACUUGUGCACAAGUCUUACCUCCCAUCCACCCCAUCCUCCAGAGUGAGAGCCCCAAAAGGAAGGGACCGGAACUGGCCCAGUUCCUGACUCCUAGCACGUCCUUGAGAGCUGUUUGCUGCUGAGCCAGUGCCGGACAGUCACUCCCAGUUCCUCUAAGGCCAGCCAGGCGGGGUUUCAGGCCCCACCACCUCCCUCCCACCUCUUCCAUGCUAGACUUUGUUUCCUGCUGGGCUGCAGCUGCCCCUCACCAGCUGGUGACUCAGAGCCUGGGCAGGAUGACAGUGCCGAUUGGGCCCUCGCAACCCUCUGAGCCUUCUGUGAAUCAGCCUGCGGUCUUCUCAGUAGAAUGAGGAUAAUCCUGAAUUCAGAACAUAUUUCCUGAGUACGGUGAGUGCCCAGGAGAUGGGGGCUGAGAGCUGGCUCCUGCGCUCCUGAGAGCACAGUUUCCUGGGCAGGAGCAGAGAGAAGGCCCAGAGGAAGAUGGGAGGGAGGCAAGGCAAAGGAUGCUGUGGGGAGAGCCCAGAGCUGGGCCGCAGGAUUUCUCCUACAGUCGGAGGGAAAACCCGGGAAUGAGGAAUGCUGAUGGACAUAGCACUAUCAGAGGACUUGAUCCUGUUUCUCAGAGAGGAAGACAGACACUCUUAGCAUAAUGAGGGUCAAAAGUUGGGCCAGGCCGGGCACGGUGGCUCACGCCUGUAAUCCCAGCACUUUGGGAGGCUGAGGCAGGCAGAUCACUUGAGGUCAGGAGUUUGAGGCCAGCCUGGCCAACAUGGUGAAACCUCAUCUCCACUAAAAAUACAAAAAUUAGCUGGGUGUGGUGGCACAUGCCUGUAGUCCCAGCUACUCAGGAGGCUUAGGCAGAAGAAUCGCUAGAAUCCAGGAGGCAGAGGCUGCAGUGAGCCGAGAUCACACCACUGCACUCCAGCCUGGGUGACAGAGCGAGACUCUGUCUCAAAAAAAAAAAAAAAAAAGAAAUUGGGGCUAGCAGUAUCGAUAAUAGGGGAUCUCAUACCAAGAGAGCAAAUGGCCCAACAUUCAUCUUCAGAGUAAAGAGGUCUGGUUAAAAAAAAAAGCGUAUAUGUAUACACACACACACACACAACUGAAGAAAACGCCAAGGGAAAAAAAAUGUAAGCUAUAACCCCAGAACACAAAACAUAAUGCCCUUCACCCCUCCUCCAUGCGACCUGCCAGCAGAAAGACUGGGGGUGUGGCAGGGCGGUGGGGGCGGGGGGUAGGGUAUGUUUGUAGCCUUUCAGUGAAACAGGGCAGAGAACUGCUCCUUUUUCUUUUCUCUCUCUCUUUUUUUUUCUUUUUGAGACCGGGUCUCGCUCUGCCAUGCUGGCUGGAGUGCAGUGGCGCCAUCACAGCUCACUGCAGCCUUGACCUACCUAGGCUGAAGCGAUCCUCCCACCUCAGCCUCCUGAGUAGCUGGGACUAUAGCAUUGCCAUUCCUGGCUAGUUUUCAUUUUGUCUUGUUUUCGUAGAGACAGGGUUUCAUCAUGUUGCCCAGGCUGGUCUCAAACUCCUGGGCUCAAGCAAUCCGCCUGCCUUGGCCUCCCAGUGUGUUGGGAUUACAGGCAUGAGCCACUGCAUCUGGCUGGAGAACUGCUUCUAAAUAUGCCCAAACAACUCUUCGGUUCCUGCACUUGUUGCCUCAGAAGGCAGCAGCAUCCUUAGGCUCCAGGGUGGGAUGUCACAAACAGAUGUCUUCAUUUUUAUUUUGUUUAGCUUAAGUUGUGUAAUUGUGACUUAAAGCUGGUUUGUUUGUUUGUUUUAAGGCAGAGUUUUGCUUUUGUUGCCCAGGCUGGAGUGCAAUGGCGUGAUCUCGGCUCACUGCAACCUCUGCCUCCCAGGUUCAAGUGAUUCUUCUACCACAGCCUCCCAAGUAACUGGGAUUACAGGCUUGCGCCACCAUGCCCGGCUAAGUUUUGUAUUUUUAGUAGAGAUGGGGUAUCACCAUGUUGAUCAGGCUGGAUGGUCUUGAACUCCUGACCUCAGGUGAUCCACCUGCCUCGGCCUCCCAAAUUGCUGGGAUUACAGGCAUGAGCCACUGCGCCCAGCCUUGUUUGUUUUUUUAAGACAGCAUCUCACUCUGUACCCAGACUGGAGUGCAGGGGCAUCAUCAUAGCAUCAUAGCUCACCGCAGCCUUGAACUCUCAAACUCCUGGGCUCAAGCAAUCCUCCUGCCUUAGCCUCCCAAGUAGCUGGGACUACAGGCUCACACCCCCAUGCCCCACUAAUUUUUUAUUUUUAUUUUGUAGAGACAUGGGCUCUAUCUUGCUAUAUUGUGGAGGCUGGUCUCCAACUCCUGGCCUCAAGUAAUCCUCCUGCCUUGGCCUCCCAAAGUGCUGGGACUACAGAUGUGAACCACCAUGCCCUGCCCAGAUGUUUUCAGAUGGUUGGGGAUCCAUUCAGCAAAAUAGCUGCUAUUUUUGUUUGGUUUGGUUUGGUUUUCCUUUUUUUUCCCCUGCCCUUAUUUUUGUUUUGUGUAUUAAACAUCUGCCUAAACAUCACCUCCAUGUACCCAGGGCUUGGCUAGGAUGUAUUCAUAGGGGAUGUAUCAACAGGUAGGGGAAGGGUUAUAGCCUGGAAGGAAGUGAGGGAAGAAUUUGAGGGUUAAGGAGACAGAGCAUCGGCUGGGCAUGGUGGCUCACGCCUGUAAUCCCAGCACUUUGGGAGGUGGAGGCAGGUGGAUCACCUGAGGUCAGGAAUUCGAGACCAGCCUGACCAACAUGGAGAAAAAAACCCCAUCUCUACUAAAAAUAAAAAAUUAGCGGGGCGUGGUGGCGCAUGCCUGUAAUCCCAGCUACUUGAAAGGCUGAGGCAGGAGAAUUGCUUGAACCUGGGAGGCGGAGGUUGCAGUAAGCUGAGAUCAUGCCAUUGCACUCCAGCCUGGGCAACAAGAGUGAAACUCCAUCUCAAAAAAAAAAAGGAGACAGAGCAUCAGAGGGGGGAGUCCCUUGAAGUGGGGGAGGGAGGCCUACAUGAGACCCUGCAUGGGAAUGCUCCAAAGGUCUGGGCAGUAAGCCCCGAGCUUAUGGACAAUCAGACCAGAGACCCCAAGCCUGCCUCCCCUGCUUACCCAAUGACAGGCACCUGAGAUACCGCCAGGGCAGCCGCAGAUGGUGAGGAGGGGAGCCAGGGCCCCAGCAUGAGCCCCCUUGUCUACCUGCUCCCUGACUUAGGGGAGAGCCAGAGACAUCCACUGUGCUUCAGGACAAGGAGCCCAGGGCCCAGGUUAUGUGUGCAUGGGAAAUGGGGAAACUGAUGUCCAGAGAGAAGUGACUGCCCCGGGUCACCAACAGGGCAGGGCCAGA